AAGGAUCAUUACCGAGUACCGGGUCUUCGGGCCCUGCUCCCACCCUCUGUGUACCUACCUCUUUUUCGUUGCCUCGGCGGGGUUGAUCCUGCGCGGCCCUGCGGCCGUGUGGGGGACCUGCCGGGGGGACACCACCAAACUCUAAUUUAACGUCGAGUCUGAGAAAACACAAAUAAAUCAAAACUUUCAACAACGGAUCUCUUGGUUCUGGCAUCGAUGAAGAACGCAGCGUAGCCAGCAUCGAUGUGGAAGUAAAAGUCGUAACAAG
rnacentral:misc_RNA from 1 species